rnacentral:misc_RNA from 1 species
UUCGUCCAUCGGCAUGUGGAUGCUGGCGUAACGGGUGAUGCCCUUCAUGUCGCCGAGCGCCUGCUUCACAGCCUGCCCGAGCGCAAUGCCGACAUCUUCCGUGGUGUGAUGGUAAUCGAUAUGGAGAUCGCCGUCGGCCUGAANNNAUGCCGCGCCAGCAGAUCCAGCAUGUGGUCGAAGAAUCCGAUACCGGUCGCGACAUUGGAAAUGCCGGUCCCGUCCAGAUUGACCGACACCAUGAUGUCGGUUUCCUUGGUCUUGCGCUUGAUGGUGGCCGUGCGCAUGAAAAGUGCUCUCCAGAAGCCGGAAGUCGCGCCCUUUUAACAGGCACAUGACGCCUUCGC